rnacentral:rRNA from 1 species
UACGAAGGGGGCUAGCGUUGCUCGGAAUUACUGGGCGUAAAGCGCACGUAGGCGGUCUUUUAAGUCGGGGGUGAAAUCCUGGAGCUCAACUCCAGAACUGCCUUCGAUACUGGAAGACUUGAGUUCGGGAGAGGUGAGUGGAACUGGCGAGUGUAGAGGUGAAAUUCGUAGAUAUUCGCAAGAACACCAGUGGCGAAGGCGGCUCACUGGCCCGAUACUGACGCUGAGGUGCGAAAGCGUGGGGAGCAAACAGG